UGGCCGCCGCUGCUCGUCCCGGCUCAGCGGGGCUCCAGGCCGGCUUCGGGCCGCCUCAAGUGCGCAGUUGCUCACCUUCUGCUGCUGUUUCUUUUGUGUGGAACAUGCAGCUACCAUCCUGCUCCAAAAUUGCUGAGCCUGAAGUCCCACAAGCCCCAGUGAUGGAGGAUCCCUAUGGAAAGCCCAAGAUGAUGCAUCAUUCCAUUAACUUCUGUAGAAAUGCACAAAAGACUUUACACUAAAACAUGGCCUGAAGAAAGUGAAUGAAGUUGUUGGUAGUCUGCAUCAUAAAUUAAAAGACUAUGGAA